AGCGGUGAUGGGGAGAAGACAUUGUGUCUUCGAGUCGUUGAUUUCACACUGCCGAGAAAAGCCUCUAGAUAGAAAAUAGGUGCCCGUACCGCAAACCGACACAGGUAGUCAAGAUGAGAAUUCUAAGGUGAGCGAGCGAACUCUCGUUAAGGAACUCGGCAAAAUGACCCCGUAACUUCGGGAGAAGGGGUGCUCUUUAGGGUUAACGCCCAGAAGAGCCGCAGUGAAUAGGCCCAAGCGACUGUUUAUCAAAAACACAGGUCUCUGCUAAACCGUAAGGUGAUGUAUAGGGGCUGACGCCUGCCCGGUGCUGGAAGGUUAAGAGGAGUGGUUAG
rnacentral:rRNA from 1 species